GUGGGGAAUCUUGCGCAAUGGGCGAAAGCCUGACGCAGCCAUGCCGCGUGAAUGAUGAAGGUCUUAGGAUUGUAAAAUUCUUUCACCGGGGACGAUAAUGACGGUACCCGGAGAAGAAGCUCCGGCUAACUUCGUGCCAGCAGCCGCGGUAAUACGAAGGGGGCUAGCGUUGCUCGGAAUUACUGGGCGUAAAGGGCGCGUAGGCGGACAGCUUAGUCAGAGGUGAAAGCCCAGGGCUCAACCUUGGAAUUGCCUUUGAUACUGGCUGUCUUGAGUUUGGGAGAGGUGAGUGGAACUCCGAGUGUAGAGGUGAAAUUCGUAGAUAUUCGGAAGAACGCCAGUGGCGAAGGCGACUCACUGGCCCAAUACUGACGCUGAGGCGCGAAAGCGUGGGGAGCAAACAGGAUUAGAUACCCGAGUAGUCC
rnacentral:rRNA from 1 species